rnacentral:tRNA from 1 species
UCCCUGGUGGCCCAGUGGAUAGGGUUCAGCGCUUUCACUGCAGUGGACCAGGGUUCAAACCCUGGUCAGGGAA